AUUCCCUAGCCCACCUGCCCAAAUUCCUCCUUGAAAAGGGAAUAUAAUAUCAGGGGAAUGUUACAAAAUCUUUGGCCUCUUAGAGGCCUCUCCAAGGAAGGAUUGCCCCCUUCUUCCUCAGUGGCUAAAUAAAGAGUCUCCCUCACCCUCAUCCAGUGACUCAAAUUUGCCACUAAAUCAAAUAAGGAUUCUCCUUUCUUCCAGGUUAGAUACCCACCGCAGUUUCAUAGUAGCAAUUUCAUCUCUUUCAUGCUUUUUGAAAGCAAGAUGCCUCCCAACAAUAUCACCCCUCGGUCCUCCAAGACUUUUUUUGGGAAAGAGUUCCUUGAACUAUCUAAAAGGAAAGAAAGUGUGACAAUUGAGGGGGACCUGAGCUACUUCUCCAGGAUGUAUGGAGCCCUCUGAGAGGACAAGGACCUUGAGGCUAAAGAAGGGCCAGAGAGGAUCAGCCAGGAGUAUGUUCAAAAGAAAUUCAUUCUUAUCAGGAUCCAAAAACACUGGCUUCCUUGUUGUUCCUUGGAUGAGACACUCUAUUUCUUGACCUUGGGCCUUCUCACUGGCUAGCCUCCAUGCCUGGAAUGUUCUGCCUCCUCACUUUCACCACUUAUUAGCUGGAUGGCCUUAGAUGCUUUGAAAGAGAUCAGCCUUCAGCCUUAUGCCUAAUCAUACAUGAGAGGGAUUCCUGAACCACAUUUUGAAGAGAGACAUACUGGUACUGAAGUA